AGAUAUAGCUACCAUUGCAUGUCAUGUGAGCAAGUUUUACAGAUAACUGUCAUUUGAGAGAACUGAUGGAUUUUUCUUUUCUUUGACAGACUCCAUGACAAUUCAAAAGGUGAAGGGGUUGCUGUCACGUCUUCUCAAAGUCCCUGUGUCAGACCUUCUGUUGGCCUAUGAAAGUCCCAAAAUGCCAGGCAGAGAAAUUGAACUAGAAAAUGACCUACAGUCAUUACAAUUUUAUUCUGUGGAAAAUGGAGAUUGUCUGUUAGCGAGAUGGUAACAACCAGCUAAUAAAAUUUAGAGACUAGACUGCUUAUCAUGUCUGGGGUUCACCGGAAAUAAAUGAUUUUUUGGAACAAUUCUGCCAAAAAAUGAAGUUUUACAACUUGCCCUAAGUAUAAUAAAGGAUGUAUUUUUUGUUGGGAAGAGACCAUUUCUAGGCUUGUAUAUAUAAUAGCAGUAAUAAAGGCCUUGAACCUACUAA